rnacentral:lncRNA from 1 species
AAUUAUUAAUUGUUUUUACUAUAGCGAUGUUUAGGGUUAACACUAUAUUAUUUAUUGGUGAGAAACAUUUAUUUCCCCCCACAUUUUUAGGUUAUCUCCCUUUUAUUUAAUUUUAAAUGAAUAAAAUAAUGUAAAAUAAAGAUAAUUUUUUUUACCAAAUAAAACUAAACCUAUAUAUAUAUUUAAAAACCAAAUAAAACUAUAAAUCAAAACUAAAACUAAAUUCAUAAAAUAAAAUUUAUAAAUUAAUAAAAUAAAACUAAAAUAAAAUUCAAAAUAAAAUUAUAAAAUGAAACCAAAGUUAUAAAUUAAAAAAUUAAAAUAAAAUUAGAACUAAGUUAAUAAAAUAAAACCAAAACUAAAUUAAAAUCUAAAUUAUAAAAUAAAACCAAGAUUAUAAAUUAAUAAAAUAAAAUGACAAUUAAAU